rnacentral:rRNA from 1 species
GUCCACGCCCUAAACGAUGAUGACUAGUUGUUGGAGGAGUUAAAUCCUUUAGUAACGAAGCUAACGCGUUAAGUUCGCCGCCUGGGAGUACGCUCGCAAGAGUGAAACUCAAAGGAAUUGACGGGGCCCGCACAAGCGGUGGAGUAUGUGGUUUAAUUCGAUGCAACGCGCAGAACCUUACCUGGUCUUGACAUGUCGCGAAUCCUUCAGAGAUGAGGGAGUGCCUUUCGGGAACGCGAACACAGGUGCUGCAUGGCUGUCGU